UACGUAGGGUGCGAGCGUUGUCCGGAAUUAUUGGGCGUAAAGGGCUCGUAGGCGGUUUGUCGCGUCGGGAGUGAAAACACCGGGCUUAACUCGGUGCUUGCUUUCGAUACGGGCAGACUAGAGGCAUGCAGGGGAGAACGGAAUUCCUGGUGUAGCGGUGAAAUGCGCAGAUAUCAGGAGGAACACCGGUGGCGAAGGCGGUUCUCUGGGCCGAUACUGACGCUGAGGAGCGAAAGCGUGGGGAGCGAACAGG
rnacentral:rRNA from 1 species